UACGUAGGGGGCUAGCGUUGUCCGGAAUCAUUGGGCGUAAAGAGCGUGUAGGCGGUCCGGUAAGUCCGUUGUGAAAGUCAAGGGCUCAACCCUUGAAUGCCGGCGGAUACUGUCGGGCUAGAGUCCGGAAGAGGCGAGUGGAAUUCCCGGUGUAGCGGUGAAAUGCGCAGAUAUCAGGAGGAACACCAAUGGCGAAGGCAGCUCGCUGGAACGGUACUGACGCUGAGGCGCGAAAGCGUGGGGAGCAAACAGG
rnacentral:rRNA from 1 species